AGAGUUUGCUUCUGGCUCAGGACGAACGCUGGCGGCGUGCCUAAUGCAUGCAAGUAGAACGCUGAAGAGAGGAGCUUGCUCUUCUUGAAUGAGUUGCGAACGGGUGAGUAACGCGUAGGUAACCUGCCUUGUAGCGGGGGAUAACUAUUGGAAACGAUAGCUAAUACCGCAUAACAAUGGGUGACACAUGUCAUUUAUUUGAAAGGGGCAAUUGCUCCACUACAAGAUGGACCUGCGUUGUAUUAGCUAGUAGGUGAGGUAACGGCUCACCUAGGCGACGAUACAUAGCCGACCUGAGAGGGUGAUCGGCCACACUGGGACUGAGACACGGCCCAGACUCCUACGGGAGGCAGCAGUAGGGAAUCUUCGGCAAUGGGGGCAACCCUGACCGAGCAACGCCGCGUGAGUGAAGAAGGUUUUCGGAUCGUAAAGCUCUGUUGUAAGUCAAGAACGAGUGUGAGAGUGGAAAGUUCACACUGUGACGGUAGCUUACCAGAAAGGGACGGCUAACUACGUGCCAGCAGCCGCGGUAAUACGUAGGUCCCGAGCGUUGUCCGGAUUUAUUGGGCGUAAAGCGAGCGCAGGCGGUUUGAUAAGUCUGAAGUUAAAGGCUGUGGCUCAACCAUAGUUCGCUUUGGAAACUGUCAAACUUGAGUGCAGAAGGGGAGAGUGGAAUUCCAUGUGUAGCGGUGAAAUGCGUAGAUAUAUGGAGGAGCACCGGUGGCGAAAGCGGCUCUCUGGUCUGUAACUGACGCUGAGGCUCGAAAGCGUGGGGAGCGAACAAGAUUAGAUACCCUGGUAGUCCACGCCGUAAACGAUGC
rnacentral:rRNA from 1 species